UACGUAGGGUGCAAGCGUUGUCCGGAAUUAUUGGGCGUAAAGAGCUCGUAGGCGGUUUGGUAAGUCGGAUGUGAAAUCUCCAGGCUCAACCUGGAGGGGUCAUUCGAUACUGCCAUGACUAGAGUUCGGUAGGGGAGUGUGGAAUUCCUGGUGGAGCGGUGAAAUGCGCAGAGAUCAGGAGGAACACCCGUAGCGAAGGCGGCACUCUGGGCCGAUACUGACGCUGAGGAGCGAAAGCGUGGGGAGCGAACAGG
rnacentral:rRNA from 1 species